rnacentral:rRNA from 1 species
GACGAACCGUACGAACGUUAUUCGGAAUCAUUGGGCUUAAAGGGCGCGUAGGCGGCGUUAUAAGUUGGAAGUGAAAUCCCAUCGGCUCAACCGUGGAAUUGCUCCCAGUACUGUAACGCUCGAGUGAGAUAGGGGCUUGUGGAACUACCGGUGGAGCGGUGAAAUGUGCUGAGAUCGGUGGGAACGCCAGUGGCGAAAGCGACCAGCUGGACCUCUACUGACGCUGAGGCGCGAAAGCUAGGGGAGCAAACGGG